AGUUUAUAUUUAUGAUAGCCAUUUGUUAUAUUUUGAAGUCAAGCGAGUUGUGGAAUAAAAGUUGCCAAAGAUCAUCACAACUUGCAUUUAUAAAUAUGCUAAAAAUUGGGUCAAAUGUAGUGGAUCUUUUCUCCCAUAAUUCUAGGAAUUAUAAUAUUGUCCACAUAUCAAAUUGAAGAUCUACAAGUCUAAUUUCUAACUAAUCAAACAUUUUUUCAAUACGAUGUCAGAGUAGAGAGAUAUUUGUAGUUUUGCGAGACUGCACAUACUGCAUCAUUUCUGUAGAAAGGUUUGUCAAUCUCUUACUCGCGAGAAUCAAGUUUCUAAAAAGCUUCGUUUAUAAAGUCAAACUAAAAUCUCACCCCGAAUGGAAAGAAUAUCGUUUUUAUAGUUGUGCAAAGGAUUGGAGAUAGAAUUACAGAUAUG
rnacentral:lncRNA from 1 species